rnacentral:rRNA from 1 species
AGUUGAUCCUGGCUCAGGAUGAACGCUAGCGACAGGCUAACACAUGCAAGUCGAGGGGCAGCAUGAGGGUAGCAAUACCCUUGAUGGCGACCGGCGCACUGGUGAGUAACACGUAUGCAACCUGCCCCGCGCAGGGGGGAUAAUCCGGAGAAAUCUGGUCUAAUACCCCGUACGCCGCGCUUCCGCAUGGGAGUGCGGUGAAAGGAGCGAUCCGGCACGGGAUGGGCAUGCGGCGCAUUAGCUAGUCGGCGGGGUGACGGCCCACCGAGGCGACGAUGCGUAGGGGUUCUGAGAGGAAGGUCCCCCACACUGGUACUGAGACACGGACCAGACUCCUACGGGAGGCAGCAGUGAGGAAUAUUGGUCAAUGGACGGAGGUCUGAACCAGCCAAGUCGCCGUGAGGGACGACGGCCCUACGGGUUGUAAACCUCUUUUGCGGGGGAGUAAAGUGGGCAACGUGUUGCUCAUUGCGAGUACCCCGAGAAAAAGCAUCGGCUAAUUCCGUGCCAGCAGCUGC